rnacentral:rRNA from 1 species
GUGGGGAAUCUUGCGCAAUGGGCGAAAGCCUGACGCAGCCAUGCCGCGUGAAUGAUGAAGGUCUUAGGAUUGUAAAAUUCUUUCACCGGGGACGAUAAUGACGGUACCCGGAGAAGAAGCCCCGGCUAACUUCGUGCCAGCAGCCGCGGUAAUACGAAGGGGGCUAGCGUUGCUCGGAAUUACUGGGCGUAAAGGGCGCGUAGGCGGACAGUUUAGUCAGAGGUGAAAGCCCAGGGCUCAACCUUGGAAUUGCCUUUGAUACUGGCUGUCUUGAGUACGGGAGAGGUGAGUGGAACUCCGAGUGUAGAGGUGAAAUUCGUAGAUAUUCGCAGGAACACCAGUGGCGAAGGCGACUCACUGGCCCAAUACUGACGCUGAGGCGCGAAAGCGUGGGGAGCAAACAGGAUUAGAAACCCUGGUAGUCC